rnacentral:misc_RNA from 1 species
AAGUCGUAACAAGGUCUCCGUUGGUGAACCAGCGGAGGGAUCAUUACAGAGUUGCAAAACUCCCUAAACCAUUGUGAACGUUACCUUCAACCGUUGCUUCGGCGGGCGGACCCGGCUCACCGCCGGUGCCCCCCGGCCCUCUCGAGGGCGCCCGCCGGAGGCCCAAACUCUUGAUACUUUUAUGGCCUCUCUGAGUCUUCUGUACUGAAUAAGUCAAAACUUUCAACAACGGAUCUCUUGGUUCUG